rnacentral:rRNA from 1 species
GAUGAACGCUGGCGGCGUGCCUAAUACAUGCAAGUCGAGCGAAUGGAUUAAGAGCUUGCUCUUAUGAAGUUAGCGGCGGACGGGUGAGUAACACGUGGGUAACCUGCCAAUAAGACUGGGAUAACUACGGGAAACCGGGGCUAAUAGCGGAUAAAAUUUUGAAUCGCAUGGUUCGAAAUUGAAAGGCUGCUUCUGCUGUCACUUAUGGAUGGACACGCGUCGCAUUAGCUAGUGGGUGAGGGAACGGCUAACCAAGGCAACGAUGCGUAGCCGACCAGAGAGGGUGAUCGGCCACGCUGGGACUGAGAGACGGCCCAGACUCCUACGGGAGGCAGCAGUAGGGAAUCUCCCGCAAUGGACGAAAGUCUGACGGAGCAACGCCGCGUGAGUGAUGAAGGCUUCCGGGUCGUAAAACUCUGUUGUUAGGGAAGAACAAGUGCUAGUUGAAUAAGCUGGCACCUUGACGGUACCUAACCAGAAAGCCACGGCUAACUACGUGCCAGCCGCCGCGGUAA